rnacentral:lncRNA from 1 species
UUUGUUUCAAAAUGUUAUGUCCAAAUCUAAUAACCAUUCAAUCUAUUAAACAAAAUUAGUUAAGUGAAAGUUAUAUUUUUAAAUACAAGAAAUUUGAGAAAUGAAUAUUUUUUUUUUCAAAAUCGAAAUAUCCGAACCCGAUCCGAAAUAACCGAACCCGAAGUAAAAAUACCCGAAACCAACCCGAAGUACAGAAAUACCCGAACAAGUUCUAUAUCUCUAUACCAAAAAUCCAAAAUACCCGACCCAAAC